rnacentral:misc_RNA from 1 species
UUAAGUUCAGCGGGUAGUCCUACCUGAUUUGAGGUCAAAUUUGUCAAUUUUUUGGUUGUUAUAAGCAGUGCUGACCAGCAAUUACCAAAGGCAUAGAUAAAUUAUCACACCAAUAGCAGCUCAGAUUACCACUAAUGCAUUUCAGGGGAGCCAGCUUUUCAUUAGAAAGCCUGCAAACCCCCACAUCCAAGCGCACAUCA